UACGUAGGGUGCGAGCGUUAAUCGGAAUUACUGGGCGUAAAGCGUGCGCAGGCGGCUUUGCAAGACAGAUGUGAAAUCCCCGGGCUCAACCUGGGAACUGCAUAUGUGACUGCAAGGCUAGAGUACGGCAGAGGGGGAUGGAAUUCCGCGUGUAGCAGUGAAAUGCGUAGAUAUGCGGAGGAACACCAAUGGCGAAGGCAAUCCCCUGGGCCUGUACUGACGCUCAUGCACGAAAGCGUGGGGAGCAAACAGG
rnacentral:rRNA from 1 species